GUCAUUUAAGUCUCUACAUAAGUGUGAUGAUUUGGUGUUCAUGCUCCAUGCAUGAUAUGUACCUUCUUUGAACUUUGUUACAACAUUGGCACGUUACCCAUCUGACG
rfam:Cavia porcellus supercont2_98 genomic scaffold, whole genome shotgun sequence.